AUUUAGUCAGUCCAAGAACCUUUCCAGCAACCCAUGUUCCAAUACCCUUUCCCCCUUUAGAUUUUGAAUUUAGCUCAGCCAAUUCCCAAAUAUCCUCGACCCUGCCCACUCCAAAGCAUAGAAACCCAACUGUUCCUUACUCCUCUUCACGUUAAUAGAAUCUCCCAUAGCGACAACAUGGACCAACGACAAUUGCAUCAAAAUACACAGAAAGCAGUGACAGACAGAAUUCAAUCCUUUGUCUUCUUUAGCCUGUCCAUUCGCAGCAGCAAGGAGCAGAUAAAGCAGCUCUGAAUCCGUCCUUGUUGAUUUUAGAUGGAGCCACAUCCCUCCCCAAGAACAGUGAAGCCAUCCGGGCCAUCAAUUCACCCUUUCCUCUUCCGAAAUAGGUAGAAGUUUCCCUCUUUUGGUGAAAGCUUUUGAAUUUGAAGGGGUAAAUUUGAAAUGGGUCCGGGUUUUGGAUCCAAAUGUGCCCCACCUUCCCAAAGAAAUUGUGACCUAAAUCUUCAUCCAUAUAUAUCCUUUUGUCAUUUCUUUGUAAGGGACAACAGAUUGUGGUGGGAGAAAAAAUUAGUAAGAGAAGAAAUUAUUAAUUUUCCGUUGAAAAUUUUAAGCGAGAAACAUUGCAGAUUAAGAUAGAAUAGCUGAAAUAGACGACCGAGGGCUCCAUAGAGAACAGAGGAACUACUUCAUUUGGUUCUGAGAUCGAUAUCUCUGUCCAAAUUUCCGAUUUUCUGUCCGUCUUUGAUACUUGGCUUGGUGGAGGCGUCGUCUUCUGUUCAUCAUACUGUUCGCUGCUCCAAAGAAGUUGUAUGUGACUACAAUCUGGGUCCUUUGGACUCCUCCCUUUACGUAUCGAGAGGGCCACAAAGGCCCCCAAAAAAUUCUCUUAUCGAAUCCCUCCCACUUUUGAGUUUAAAAAAAAUAUCAAAGAACAAGCCCACAAAAUUGACGGACCGGUCCCCAAGGUUUAUAGAAUCAAGGAAGAUUGGAAAAUUAAGAGAUCCGCUCAUUAUUUUGCAUAAGUUGUAUUUUGUUAUCUUGGGCUUAAUACCUUGCCCAUUCAUCAUUAUUACAUUAUUAGAAUAUCAGGACAUGUGAAAAAUUGGGCUUAAGGCCCAAAGUGAAAUUGAUCCAAAUACCAGUCCAGGCGGACAUAAA